ACGCCCGAUCUCGUCCGAUCUCGGAGGCUAAGCAGGGUCGGGCCUGGUUAGUACCUGGAUGGGAGACCGCCUGGGAAUACCAGGUGCUGUAGGC
rnacentral:rRNA from 1 species